rnacentral:rRNA from 1 species
CCUACGGGCGGCAGCAGUAGGGAAUCUUCGGCAAUGGACGAAAGUCUGACCGAGCAACGCCGCGUGAGUGAAGAAGGUUUUCGGAUCGUAAAACUCUGUUGGUAGAGAAGAACGUUGGUGAGAGUGGAAAGCUCAUCAAGUGACGGUAACUACCCAGAAAGGGACGGCUAACUACGUGCCAGCAGCCGCGGUAAUACGUAGGUCCCGAGCGUUGUCCGGAUUUAUUGGGCGUAAAGCGAGCGCAGGUGGUUUAUUAAGUCUGGUGUAAAAGGCAGUGGCUCAACCAUUGUAUGCAUUGGAAACUGGUAGACUUGAGUGCAGAAGAGGAGAGUGGAAUUCCAUGUGUAGCGGUGAAAUGCGUAGAGAUAUGGAGGAACACCAGUGGCGAAGGCGACUCUCUGGUCUGUAACUGACGCUGAGGAGCGAAAGCGUGGGUAGCGAACAGGAUUAGAUACCCGUGUAGUC